GAUGAACGCUGGCGGCGUGCCUAAUACAUGCAAGUCGAGCGAACAGAUGAGGAGCUUGCUCCUCUGACGUUAGCGGCGGACGGGUGAGUAACACGUGGAUAACCUACCUAUAAGACUGGGAUAACUUCGGGAAACCGGAGCUAAUACCGGAUAAUAUAUUGAACCGCAUGGUUCAAUAGUGAAAGACGGUUUUGCUGUCACUUAUAGAUGGAUCCGCGCCGCAUUAGCUAGUUGGUAAGGUAACGGCUUACCAAGGCAACGAUGCGUAGCCGACCUGAGAGGGUGAUCGGCCACACUGGAACUGAGACACGGUCCAGACUCCUACGGGAGGCAGCAGUAGGGAAUCUUCCGCAAAGGGCGAAAGCCUGACGGAGCAAUGCCGCGUGAGUGAUGAAGGUCUUCGGAUCGUAAAACUCUGUUAUUAGGGAAGAACAAAUGUGUAAGUAACUAUGCACGUCUUGACGGUACCUAAUCAGAAAGCCACGGCUAACUACGUG
rnacentral:rRNA from 1 species